AAGCACUUGAAGUCAGCCAUGCUGCUUGAGACUCAGCCUGGCCUUUGGGCUUGGUGUAUUUCUCGGUGGCAAGCCAGCAUUGGUUUGAGUCGUCGGAGAAGCGCAUAGGGAAUGUAGCGUCUCCGGACGUGUUAUAGCCUUAUGCAGGAUACGACGACCUGGAUCAAGGAACGCAGUGUGCCCUCUGGGCGGGUCUUCGGACACCUUCACACUUAGGAUGCUGGCGUAAUGGCUUUAAGUGG
rnacentral:rRNA from 1 species